rnacentral:lncRNA from 1 species
UGACUAAAAAGGAACCAAGGGGUUAACAUUGCUUUGUGUCAGAGACGUCAAAGCCGAUUUUUGCCAGCCAGAUGUGCAAGAACCUGAGGUGGCUUAAAAAUAGGUAUGAUGAUAUCUUAAGGGGCUUUCUCUGUGUAAACUGGAAAACCAGCAUAAUCUUGUGGCUCAGAGAGACUAGAUAAAGCAAAUACAUAGCAGCAUUCUUUGGUGGUAUGUACUAAUCUGCCCUGUCCAAUUUCAUAUCCUUAGUAUGUUUAAUCAUGGAACACAGUUUACAUACGUAAAGGUUCCACGUGGCAAUUAUCAGCGUAUUGAAGUACACAUCUUACCACUGUGGGCUACAUAAAAUUUUAACAAUUUCCAUGAAGUAUUUGGAACACUAAAAGAUUAUUUUCUACAGAGUUUUAGUAAGGUAGUCUUUAAUCACCUCUUAAGUACCACAAAGUCAUUCCUCCAAGAUUAACUCCAGCAGAAAUAGAAGCAUCAAGAGAGACAUGAAGCUGUCAGAAAUUCCUGGGGGAAUGCAGGGCUGUUUUGAACUGUUGUGUGAGGAGUUAACAGUCCUAGUCUAAGGCAUUUUGCUCUGGACAUCAGUAUUCUCUACCUUGCCUUGAGGCCGUCAGUUGUGCCAGAAUCCACAUAAAUGCAACUGCCCUCAGGCAUAAAAUCUUGGCAGCACAGAUUCUCAUUAGGAGCAUCAAAAAGCUUGCGAUGACUGAUAAACCUUGGAUAGUCACGUCUCUUCCCCACCCCCUCAUCGAAACCUCCAGGAUGGGUGAUGCGUACUAGGAUGGUUUUCUGGUACUCAACCUGCUUCACCUUUAGGCUCCCCACUCUGUUCUGCCCCCACAAGCAUCAGGUCUGAGACAGAUUGGAGUCUGACCCUUGAGUUUCCCCCAUCUAUGUUACUGGGCAGAGCAAUGAAUACCUCAAGAGGGAUACUAACUGACAGGCUAAAAGAGGAAGAUAGCUGGAAGCAUAGCUCUUUCCAAGGCAAACAGCAGAGUGGAUGGCUGAGUCCAUCAAAAAAGAAACAAGCUUUAAAACUGAUGGGGCAAAGAUAAAUCAGCAUUUAAAAUAUAGCAAAACAGGUAAGGAAAGAGGUUAACAACAUGAAACAAUAAGGAAGUGUAAAAGAAAAGAACCAAGUAGAAAUAUAAUGUGUUAAAAAAAAAAAAAAGCAAUAGCUGAAAUACAGGACACAAUGUUGCUGUUACUGUUGCUCAGUUGCUAACUCAUGUCCAACUCUCUGCAAACCCACGGACUGCAGCACCCCAGGCUUCCCUGUCCUUCACUGUCUCCUGGGGUUUGCUCAGAUUCUUGUCCAUUGAGUUGGUGAUGCUACCU